CCCUUAGAUGUUCUGGGCUGCACGCGCGCUACACUGAAGCUAUCAACACGUUUUCCCUCCCUGAGAAGGGCGGGUAACCUUUUGAAUCAGCUUCGUGGUAGGGAUCGGGGCUUGCAAUUGUUCCCCGUGAACCAGGAAUUCCUAGUAGACGCGAGUCAUAAGUUCGCAUCGAUUAAGUCCCUGCCCUUUGUACACACCGCCCGUCGCUACUACCGAUUGAACGUUUUAGUGAGGCAUUUGGACCGACGCAUCUCAGUUUAACCGCUGGUUUGUGUUGGAAAGACUUCCAAACUUGAGCGUUUAGAGGAAGUAAAAGUCGUAACA
rnacentral:rRNA from 1 species